UGCUCUGAUCAAGACUUCCAAUACUAUGUUGAAUAGGAGUGGUGGGAAGGGGCAUCCUUGUUUUGUGCCAGUUUUUAAGGGAAAUUCUUCCAGCUUUUACCCAUUUAGUAUGAUGUUGGCUGUGGGUUUGUCAUAUAAGGCCCUUAUUAAUUUGAGGUAUGUUUGCUCAAUAUGUAAAUUAUUGAGAGUUUGCUACACAAAAUGAUGUUGAAUUCUAUCAAAAGCCUUUUAUGGAUCUAUUGAAGCAAUCAUGAAGUUUUUAUCUUUAGUUCUGUUAUGGGAUGGAGUCACAUUUAUUGAUUUGCAUAUAUUGAACCAACCUUACAUCCCAGAAAUAAAGCCUACUUGAUUAUGAUGGAUUCCAUUUUUUGAUGUGCGGCUAGAUUCAGUUUGGGUUUUCAAGUAUUUUGUUAAGGAUUUUAAAAGGCUAGAAGGCACCCUAGGCAAUACCAUUCUGGACAUAGGAACUGGAAAAUAAUUCAUGACAAAUUCUUUGGCAAAGAUGCCAAAAGAAAUUGCAACAAAAGCAGAAAUUGACAAAAUGUGAUCUAAUUAAACUUAAGAGCUUCUGCACAGCAAAAGGAAAUAUCAACAGAGUAAACAGACAAUGUACAGAACGGGAGAAAAUAUUUGCAAAAUAUGUGACAAAGGUCUAAUAUCCAGCACCUAUAAGACACAAAUUUACAAGAAAAAAAACAAACAACCUUAUUAAAAACUGAGUGAUAUGGUUUGAAUUUGUGUCCCUACCCCAAUCUCAUGUCAAAUUUUAAUCCCAAGUUUUGGAGGAGGGUCCUGGUGGGAGGUGAUUGAAUCAUGGUGGCAGAUUUCUUCCUUGCUGUUCUCAUGAUAGUGAAUGAGUUCUCACAAGAUCUGAUUGUUUAAAAGUGUUGUGCCACCUCCACCCUCUCUUCCUGCUUCAGCCAUGUAAGAUGUGCCUCCUUCCUCUUUGCUUUCUGCCAUGAUUGUAAGUUUCCCAGUGCCUCCCCAGCCAUGUUUCCUGUACAGCCUACAGAACCAUGAGCCAAAUAAAGCUUUUUUCUUUAUAAAUUACCCAGUCUCACGUAGUUCUUUAUAGUAAUGUGAUAAUGAAUACAGAACAUUGGUACUGGGAGUGGGGUAUUUCUAUAAAGACACCUGAAAAUGUGGACGCAGGUUUGGGACUGGGUAAUGGGCAGAGGUUGGAACAGUUUGGAGGACUCAGAGGAAGACAGGAAGAUCAAGGAAAGUUUUGAAAUUCCUAGCAUUUGUUUAAUUGUUGUGACCAAAAUGCUGAUAGUGAUAUGGACAAUAAAGUCCAGGGUGAGGUAGUCUCAGAUGGAGGUGAGGAACUUAUUGGGAACUGGAGUAAAGGUCAUUCUUGCUAUGCUUUAGCAAAGAGACUGGUGGCAUUAUGUCCCUGCUCUAGAGAUCUGUGGAAUUUUGAACUACAGAGUGAUGAUUUAGGAUAUCUGGCAAAAGAAAUUUCCAAGCAGCAAAGCACUCAAGAUGUGGUCUGGCUCCUUCUAACAGCAAAUAUUCUUAUAUUUGUGAGCAAAGAGAUAAUCUGAAACUGAAACUUAUAUUUAAAAGAAAAGCAGAACAUACAAGUUUGGAAAAUUUGCAGCCUAGCCAUGUGGUAGAAAAGAAAAACCCACAUUCAGGGGAAGAAUUCAAGCCAGCUGCAGAAAUUUGCAUAAGUAAAGAGGAGCCAAAUGUUAAUAGCCAAGACAAUGAAAAAAAAUGCCUUGACAUCAUUUCAAAGACCUUCUCAGUAGCUACUCCCAUCACAGGCCCGGAGGCUUAGGAGGGAAGAAUGGUUUCAUGGACUGGGCCCAGGGCCCCGCUGCCCUAAACAACCUCAAGACAUUGCUUCCUGUGAUCCAGCUGCUCCAGCUCUAGCCAUAGCUAAAAAGACUUCAGAUAUGUCUCAGGCCACUUCUCUCAAGGGUGUAAGCCAUAAGCUUUGGCAGCUUCCACAUGGGGUUAAGCCUGUAGGUGCACAGAGAGCAAGAGCUGAAGCUUGGGAUCCUCCACCUAGAUUUCAGAGGAUGUAUGGAAAUGCCUGAAUGUCCAGGCAGAAGUCUGGUGCAGGGGCAGAGCCCUCAUAAAGAACCUUUACCAGGGUAGUGCACAGGGGAAAUGUGGGGUUGGAGCCACCAUGCCGAGUCCCCACUGGGGCACUGCCUACUAGAACUGUGAGAAAAGGGCCACUGUCCUCCAAACCCAAGAAUAGUAGAUCCAACAGCUUGCACCAUGUACCUGGAAAAGCCUCAGGCACUCAGUGCCAGCCUGUAAAAGCAGGCACAGGGGCUGUUCCCUGCAGAGCCACAGGGGUGGAGUUGCCCAAAAACUUGGGAGCCCACCCCUUGUAUCAAUGUGGACUAGAUGUGAGACAUGGAAUCAAAAAAGAUUAUUUGGGAGCUUUAAGAAUUGACUGCCAUGCUGGGUUUUGGACUUGCAUGGAGCCUGUAGCCAAUUGUUAUGGCAGAUUCCCCCUUUUGGAAAGGGAGUAUUUACUCAAUGUCUAUACCAACAUAAUAUCUUGGAAGUAAUUAACUUGUUUUUGAUUUUACAGGCUCACAGGCAGAAAGGACUUGCUUUGUUUCAGAUGAGACUCUGGACUGUGGACUUUUGAGUUAAUGCUGAAAUGAUUUAAAACUCGGGGGACUGUUGAGAAGAGGUUCAUUUGUGGAAUAGCCCCUUCUCUGUCGCACUGAUAUGGCAUGCCAAUUUUGUCAUAUAAUGAAGUUCCACACAAGCAUGGUUCUGUUUCUCAGCAUUCUGACUGUUUCUGCACCUAUGUCACACUGAAUAACCAAAGCUCAAGAGUUAAGUCAUCUGGUUUAACAGUUCUGGAGGCUGGGAAGUGCAAGACCAAGAUAUGAACAGAUUCAUUAUCUGGUUCAAAGCCAGGAGCAGUGGCAAAGCACCUGUUGUCCCAGCUACUUGAGAGGCUGGAGCUGGAAGAUCACUUAAGGCCAAGAGUUCAAGACCAGCCUGGAUGACAUAGAGAGAUUCCCAUCUUUUUAAAAAAAGUUAGGUUCAGUCAGAUUUCAGAAACUGAGAGUAGACACUCUAGGAUUUGAUUGCAUUGACUUGCUUAAUGUUCAUUUUUGGCUUGGAUCAUGAAUAUAGUCUUUGAAUAAAGGGUUACUUUCCCCAA